UACGUAGGGUGCAAGCGUUGUCCGGAAUUAUUGGGCGUAAAGAGCUCGUAGGCGGUUUGUCGCGUCGGCUGUGAAAACCUAGGGCUCAACUCUGGGCUUGCAGCCGAUACGGGCAAACUAGAAUUCGGUAGGGGAGACUGGAAUUCCUGGUGUAGCGGUGAAAUGCGCAGAUAUCAGGAGGAACACCGGUGGCGAAGGCAGUUCUCUGGGCCUGUUCUGACGCUGAGGAGCGAAAGCGUGGGGAGCGAACAGG
rnacentral:rRNA from 1 species